rnacentral:rRNA from 1 species
AGAAUCAACGCUGGCGGCGUGCCUAACACAUGCAAGUCGAACGCGGUUAUCCAGCAAUGGAUGACUGAGUGGCGAACGGGUGAGUAACACGUGGGUGACCUACCUUCGAGUGGGGGAUAACGUCCCGAAAGGGACGCUAAUACCGCAUAACAUCCUGCCUUUGAACAGGCGGAGAUCAAAGCCGGGGAUCGUAAGACCUGGCGUUUGAAGAGGGGCCCGCGUCCGAUUAGCUAGUUGGUGAGGUAACGGCCCACCAAGGCGACGAUCGGUAACCGGCCUGAGAGGGCGGACGGUCACACUGGGACUGAGACACGGCCCAGACUCCUACGGGAGGCAGCAGUGGGGAAUUGUCGCAAUGGGCGCAAGCCUGACGACGCAACGCCGCGUGGAGGAUGAAGGUCUUCGGAUUGUAAACUCUGUUGCCAGGACGAAAGCUUACGACCUAAUACGUCGAAGUCUGACGGUACUGGUGAGGACGCCCGGCUAACUCUGUGCCAGCAGCCGCGGUAUC